rnacentral:lncRNA from 1 species
AAAGUUUUUGCAUUCUUUUCUAAGCAAAUGCACAUGUAUUUUCAUAUUGAGUUUGUGCAACUAUUAAGGCAAGAAAUAUAUGCGNNNNNNNNNNNNNNNNNGACCUAUUAUUAGAUCCCCGCACAUGUAUUUAAUGAUUAUAGGAAGGCCUCAGGAGUUCACAUUUGUUUAAUGCAUUUUUAUUAAGCUAUAUCUGUAAAAGAAGUACGAGUAUCCUUGUCCGUACUAUAAGGUUCUUGAUUUGGUUUUCACAUAAAGAUCGAGGUUGAAUACCCCGGCUAGAUCAUCUAAGUGCCUUAUGUUCCGAUCUUGGUUGACCUAUAGUCACGUUGCAGUCACAUUAUAUGGUUCAGUUUACCUUCUCUAUUUUGAAAAAAAAAUAAAUAAAUAAAUAAAUGAGGAGAUGACAAGUCUAACCUCGUGGCGUAGUUUGGUUCGAGUAAUUAAGCCCGAGGGGUGUUUUCACCU